UUAGGAAUCUUCCCCAAUGGGCGAAAGCCUGAGGGAGCGACGCCGCGUGAGGGAUGAAGGCCUUUGGGUUGUAAACCUCUGAACGAAGGACGAAAGCCCCGCAAGGGGGAUGACGGUACUUCGGUAAUAGCACCGGCUAACUCCGUGCCAGCAGCCGCGGUAAUACGGAGGGUGCGAGCGUUACCCGGAAUCACUGGGCGUAAAGGGCGUGUAGGCGGUUCACUAAGUCUGGCUUUAAAGACCGGAGCUCAACUCCGGGCCUGGGUUGGAUACUGGUGAGCUUGACGGCUGGAGGGGAGGGUGGAAUUCUCGGUGUAGCGGUGGAAUGCGUAGAUACCGAGAGGAACACCAGUGGCGAAGGCGGCCCUCUGGACAGUGCGUGACGCUGAGGCGCGAAAGUGUGGGGAGCGAACCGGAUUAGAUACCCGGGUAGUCCACACCCUAAACGAUGUGUGUUGGGUGCUUGCCCGUUGGGGUGGGUGCCGAAGCUAACGCGAUAAACACACCGCCUGGGAAGUACGGCCGCAAGGUUGAAACUUAAAGGAAUUGACGGGGGUCAUAGCUGUUUCCU
rnacentral:rRNA from 1 species